rnacentral:snoRNA from 1 species
UGCAACCUAUGAUGCAAAAUAACCCAAUACUGAAUUGCAGUGAUUAUUCCAAAAAUAUCACCAUCUUUCGGCUGAGGUUGCU